GACGAACGCUGGCGGCGUGCUUAACACAUGCAAGUCGAACGGAAAGGCCCUGCUUUUGUGGGGUGCUCGAGUGGCGAACGGGUGAGUAACACGUGAGUAACCUGCCCUUGACUUUGGGAUAACUUCAGGAAACUGGGGCUAAUACCGGAUAGGAGCUCCUGCUGCAUGGUGGGGGUUGGAAAGUUUCGGCGGUUGGGGAUGGACUUGCGGCUUAUCAGCUUGUUGGUGGGGUAGUGGCUUACCAAGGCUUUGACGGGUAGCCGGCCUGAGAGGGUGACCGGCCACAUUGGGACUGAGAUACGGCCCAGACUCCUACGGGAGGCAGCAGUGGGGAAUAUUGCACAAUGGGCGGAAGCCUGAUGCAGCAACGCCGCGUGCGGGAUGACGGCCUUCGGGUUGUAACCCGCUUUCGCCUGUGACGAAGCGUGAGUGACGGUAAUGGGUAAAGAAGCACCGGCUAACUACGUG
rnacentral:rRNA from 1 species